rnacentral:rRNA from 1 species
CUGCGGAGGGAUCAUUAAAGAGUUAAAAACAACUCCUAAACCCAUGUGAAACCUACCUUUGUUGCCUCGGCAGGUCUGCAACUUACCCUGAGGGUACCUACCCUGUAGGUACCUUACCCGGUAGUUGCGGGCAUAACCUGCCGGUGGUCUACUAAACUCUGUUUACUAUGUCAUUCUGAAUAAUAUAACUAAAUAAGUUAAAACUUUCAACAACGGAUCUCUUGGUUCUGGCAUCGAUGAAGAACGCAGCGAAAUGCGAUAAGUAAUGUGAAUUGCAGAAUUCAGUGAAUCAUCGAAUCUUUGAACGCACAUUGCGCCCAUUAGUAUUCUAGUGGGCAUGCCUGUUCGAGCGUCAUUUCAACCCUUAAGCCCUGUUGCUUAGCGUUGGGAGCCUACAGAUACCCUCUGUAGUUCCUUAAAGUUAGUGGCGGAGUCGGUUUCACACUCUAGACGUAGUAAAUUUUAUCUCGCCUAUAGAUGAGCCGGUCCCUUGCCGUAAAACCCCCUAAUUUCUAAAGGUUGACCUCGGAUCAGGUAGGAAUACCCGCUGAACUUAAGCAUAUCA